CCUACGGGUGGCAGCAGUGAGGAAUAUUGGUCAAUGGACGAGAGUCUGAACCAGCCAAGUAGCGUGAAGGAUGACUGCCCUAUGGGUUGUAAACUUCUUUUAUAUGGGAAUAAAAUGUUCCACGUGUGGGAUUUUGUAUGUACCAUAUGAAUAAGGAUCGGCUAACUCCGUGCCAGCAGCCGCGGUAAUACGGAGGAUCCGAGCGUUAUCCGGAUUUAUUGGGUUUAAAGGGAGCGUAGGUGGAUUGUUAAGUCAGUUGUGAAAGUUUGCGGCUCAACCGUAAAAUUGCAGUUGAAACUGGCAGUCUUGAGUACAGUAGAGGUGGGCGGAAGUCGUGGUGUAGCGGUGAAAUGCUUAGAUAUCACGAAGAACUCCGAUGGCGAAGGCAGUUCACUGGACUGCAACUGACACUGAGGCUCGAAAGUGUGGGUAUCAAACAGGAGUAGAUACCCGUGUAGUC
rnacentral:rRNA from 1 species